UGGUCUUAUCAUGUUGAAAUACCGGUUCUCGUACGAUCACCAAAGUUAAGCAACGUCAAGCCUGGUCAGUACCUAGAUUGGUAACCGCUUGGGAAUACCACGUGAGGCAAG